GUCGAGGUGGCCUAGCUUGGUUUCAGAUGUCCAUGCGUGUUCAUUUGCUAAAAUGGGCGCCUGACUCAUAAUCAGGAGGCCGCGGGAUCGAAGCCCGCCCUCGACACCA
rnacentral:tRNA from 1 species